rnacentral:rRNA from 1 species
UAAACGACUCUCGGCAACGGAUAUCUCGGCUCACGCAUCGAUGAAGAACGUAGCAAAAUGCGAUACUUGGUGUGAAUUGCAGAAUCCCGUGAACCAUCGAGUUUUUGAACGCAAGUUGCGCCCGAAGCCAUCUGGUUGAGGGCACGUCUGCCUGGGUGUCACGU